GUGUGUGGCACCACCCCGCUCUCUUUCAGUCCUGCUCCUGCCAUGUAAGACGCCUGCUCCUGCUUUGCCUUCUGUCAUGAGUAAAACUUUUCUGAGGCCUCCCCAGAAGCCGCCAUGCUUCCUGUACAGCCUGAGGAACCAUAAUGAGAAAUUGGUGAAAAUGCCUACGCCAAGUGUUGACAGUGUGAAAGUAGCAGUGCGAGUGCGGCCUUUUAGUCAGGUUAGUGAUGAAUGUUACGCUGCCUUGUUGAAAAUUUCACUGACUUUGAUUUUAUUACUUUUUUAAUGAUAGUUGUCAAACUUGUAUUUAAGCUGCUUGUCAUUUAUGGAAUAUUGAACUUAUUUAAAUGAACUUGUUAAAUGAAUAAAGAGCUAAACAUAA